rnacentral:rRNA from 1 species
CAUUAAUACCGGAUAACGUCCCUGGACCAAAGGUGUGAUUCCGCCUGGGGAGGGGCCUGCGUCCUAUCAGCUAGUUGGCAGGGUAAUGGCCUACCAAGGCUUUGACGGGUAGCGGGUGUGAGAGCACGACCCGCCUCACUGGGACUGAGACACUGCCCAGACACCUACGGGUGGCUGCAGUCGAGAAUCUUCCGCAAUGGGCGAAAGCCUGACGGAGCGACGCCGCGUGCGGGAUGAAGGCCUUCGGGUUGUAAACCGCUGUCAGUGGGGAGGAAAUGCACGGGGGUAAUAAAUAAUCCUUCGUGUUCGACCGAUCCGCAGAGGAAGCACAGGCUAAGUUCGUGCCAGCAGCCGCGGUAACACGAACUGUGCAAACGUUAUUCGGAAUUACUGGGCUUAAAGAGUUCGUAGGCGGCUUGGUAAGUCGGGUGUGAAAUCCCUCGUCUCAACCCGAGGAAUU